rnacentral:misc_RNA from 1 species
AGCAGGUCCCACUGUCAAAAGUCGAUAUAUGAGAUUGUGUGAAAUUUACUAUCAAUUCCAAUUAAAAAAAAUCAUCAAAGACUAAAUCACCAUGGGAGGUGUAUGUUCAUCAUAAUGAGAAAUCAACCAAAAAUAAAAUAAAAUAACUGAUAGAGUUUUAGUUUUCCAAAGGUGCCUAGCCAUUCCACUUUUUUAACAGUCAAUUAAUUUGUGCCAAUUAAUUUGUGUUCUCUCCGUAGCUGUGAGGUCUCAAGGAAGUAAGCCUAUAUUCAGAUUUUAUAAGAAUGGUGGACAAGCUUAAUAACUUUGCUUUCAAGGAAUGAUUGUCCAUCAUACACAUCAACCUUUUGUAUACUAGGAGCCCUCUGAAUAACUAAUGCUUUGUAAUUAAUAGAACCUUUUAGGAC